rnacentral:rRNA from 1 species
AUUGAACGCUGGCGGCAUGCUUUACACAUGCAAGUCGAACGGUAACAGGCCGCAAGGUGCUGACGAGUGGCGAACGGGUGAGUAAUGCAUCGGAACGUGCCCAGUCGUGGGGGAUAACGCAGCGAAAGCUGUGCUAAUACCGCAUACGAUCUAUGGAUGAAAGCGGGGGACCGUAAGGCCUCGCGCGAUUGGAGCGGCCGAUGUCAGAUUAGGUAGUUGGUGGGGUAAAGGCCUACCAAGCCGACGAUCUGUAGCUGGUCUGAGAGGACGACCGGCCGCACUGGGACUGAGACACCGGCCAGACUCCGACGGGAGGAAGCAGUGGGGAAUUUUGGGCAAUGGGCGCAAGCCUGAUCCAUCAAUGCGGCGUGCAGGAAGAAGGCCUUCGGGUUGUAAACUGCUUUUGUACGGAACGAAACGGCCUGGGUUAAUACCCUGGGCCAAUGACGGUACCGUAAGAAUAAGCACCGGCUAACUACGUGCCAGCAGCCGCCGCCGUAA